rnacentral:rRNA from 1 species
CCUAAGAGGUCCAGCCUGCCCAGUGACCCCUGUUAAACGGCCGCGGUACCCUAACCGUGCAAAGGUAGCGUAAUCACUUGUUUUCUAAAUAAAGACUAGUAUGAAAGGCAUCACGAGAACUAAACUGUCUCCCUUUUCUAAUCAGUGAACCUAAUCCCCCCGUGAAGAAGCGGGGAUAAUUAAAUAAGACGAGAAGACCCUAUGGAGCUUAAAACAUUGUAACACCUGCCCCCUUUUACAUUACUCAGGUACUUUACCCCAUACAUAAUGAUUACAUGUUUUCGGUUGGGGUGACCGCGGGGGAAAAACAAUCCCCCGCAAUGUUAAGGAUAUUCCUAAACAACAAGCCACAGCUUUAAGUAUCAAUAAAUUGACAUCAUUGACCCAAUACGUUGAUUAAUGAACCAAGUUACCCUAGGGAUAACAGCGCAAUCCGUUUUGAAAGCUCCUAUUGACAAACGGGUUUACGACCUCGA